GACGAACGCUGGCGGCGUGCUUAACACAUGCAAGUCGAACGGAAAGGCCCUGCUUUUGUGGGGUGCUCGAGUGGCGAACGGGUGAGUAACACGUGAGUAACCUGCCCUUGACUUUGGGAUAACUUCAGGAAACUGGGGCUAAUACCGGAUAGGAGCUCCUGCUGCAUGGUGGGGGUUGGAAAGUUUCGGCGGUUGGGGGUGGACUCGCGGCUUAUCAGCUUGUUGGUGGGGUAGUGGCUUACCAAGGCUUUGACGGGUAGCCGGCCUGAGAGGGUGACCGGCCACAUUGGGACUGAGAUACGGCCCAGACUCCUACGGGAGGCAGCAGUGGGGAAUAUUGCACAAUGGGCGGAAGCCUGAUGCAGCAACGCCGCGUGCGGGAUGAAGGCCUUCGGGUUGUAAACCGCUUUCGCCUGUGACGAAGCGUGAGUGACGGUAAUGGGUAAAGAAGCACCGGCUAACUACGUG
rnacentral:rRNA from 1 species